UACGUAGGGACCAAGCGUUGUUCGGAUUUACUGGGCGUAAAGAGCGUGUAGGCGGCUAGGUAGGUCCGUUGUGAAAACUCGAGGCUCAACCUCGAGACGUCGAUGGAAACCAUCUAGCUAGAGUCCGGAAGAGGAGAGUGGAAUUCCUGGUGUAGCGGUGAAAUGCGCAGAUAUCAGGAAGAACACCCGUGGCGAAGGCGGCUCUCUGGUACGUGACUGACGCUGAGACGCGAAAGCGUGGGGAGCGAACAGG
rnacentral:rRNA from 1 species